CACGUGCAGUGACCGAUUUUAUACUAAUAUAUUUAGCGUUUUUGUUGUGGUACGUUAAAUGAUAGAUUGCUCAUGCGUAACCGAUUAAAGCGUAAAAAGUGCGCAUGUGCAACAAGCUUUUACAUCCCACAAGCAAAGAAGCAAAUGUUUUAGCUCAAAUUCGCGCUCCUAGAAGGUACGGAUAGGUAACCUUUCACAUCGCUACGGAAACGUAUCCGGUACAUGUGUAACGU